rnacentral:rRNA from 1 species
UACGUAGGGGGCGAGCGUUGUCCGGAUUCAUUGGGCGUAAAGCGCGCGUAGGCGGCUUCGUAAGUCGGCCGUGAAAUCUCCAGGCUUAACUUGGAGGGGUCGGGCGAGACUGCGGAGCUCGAGGUGGGCAGAGGGCAGUGGAAUUCCGGGUGUAGUGGUGGAAUGCGUAGAGGAUCCGGAGGAACACCAGUGGCGAAGGCGGCUGCCUGGGCCUGGCCUGACGCUGAGGCGCGAAAGCGUGGGGAGCGAUCCGG